UAUUGGCCAAUGGGCGCGAGCCUGAACCAGCCAAGUAGCGUGAAGGAUGACGGCCCUAUGGGUUGUAAACUUCUUUUAUAUGGGAAUAAAGUUUGGUAUGUAUAACAGCUUGUUUGUACCAUAUGAAUAAGGAUCGGUGAACUCCGUGACAGCAGCCGCGGUAAUACGGAGGAUCCGAGCGUUAUCCGGAUUUAUUGGGUUUAAAGGGAGCGUAGGUGGACAGUUAAGUCAGUUGUGAAAGUUUGCGGCUCAACCGUAAAAUUGCAGUUGAUACUGGCUGUCUUGAGUACAGUAGAGGUGGGCGGAAUUCGUGGUGUAGCGGUGAAAUGCUUAGAUAUCACGAAGAACUCCGAUUGCGAAGGCAGCUCACUGGACUGCAACUGACACUGAUGCUCGAAAGUGUGGGUAUCAAACAG
rnacentral:rRNA from 1 species